AUACCUGCAUAAACGAAACAAUAUGAUCAAACAUAACUCACUUGCGUCUGGACACAGAAACAAACAUCAAAAUAUAUAUAUAAACUCUUGUUCAGUUAUCAAAACUAAUUUUUUUCAUUAGCUCUAAACAUUAAAACAUGCACGAUUGGUUGUUCAGCUAUAGAAAACAAAAGGCUUUGGAAUAUUCAGGGACAAAAUUUAGAAACACAUAAUGACAUAAUCAAGAAACAUAACAACAUCUUGCUUGUUUCUUAACAAAUCAGAUGCCGCAAACGUAUUGAUCUUAAGCAUGCUCUCAUCUCCUCUGCUUUUGAAGCUGGGCUUGGAGACAGCAGUAUUGUUCAAAGAGUCCAUGGGAGCAGCUGUAGAGAACAAAGAUAAGAUUCGGUGUAGUCUAUUGCUCUACUAUGUCGACGACGCUCUACUAUGUAGAGGAGAAGAAGAAGAUGCUCUGUGGUCGUUGAUCGAAGAAGAAAAAGUGAUGAGACGGAAAGAGAUGAAGAAACGAAAAGAAAAGAGAAGAGAAGAAGAAGGCGAGUCUUUGAUCACAUGCAAAAAAGAUGAGUUGUGUACAAGAACUUGUGAUUGUCGAUCGAAAGGGAAAAAACAUAGAGAGCAAUAAUGGCCAUAGGCCAUAGUCAUCACCCGAUCACCAUUUAGCUCUGUUCUCGGUGAGAAAAGUGCAGCGGGCCUCAAUGUUUGCCCGCAUCCCGCUUCGGCCCGUCCCGCUUCGGCCCAGUACCGCCGCGGUCCUGUCCCGCGAGACCCGCAACUAAACGGACCACAAUAUCUUUGCCCAAUCCCGCCCCGCAAUGGGUCUUUUCGGGUCAGGCCCGCGGGCAAGCCCUUGAACUGCCAUCUCUAUAUAUACCCCCUUUUUUUUGUUCAACACAACUGAGAUGUUCUUAAAGGGUUAUGUUUGGAAGUUAGUGUGUUUGGUCAGAUCCUUUGAAUUUAUUUUUCUUCUACUGAUUUCUUUCUGUUUUUUAUUUUGAAAAUAUAAUGAAUGUUGACUCCGAAGUCUGUGCUUUACACAAAUAAUAUGCCCUCCCUCUCUCUCUCUUCUCUGCCCCGGAAGUGAGUGUCCCUGUGCGUGCUAUGACGUUUGCGACAUUCACAAUGACGUCGUCCCUCUACACGUAAGCCCUUUUGUCUCUUUUCUUUGGUCUCCUUCAUCUCUUUUGAUGGGUCCACCCUGGACAUAAAUUAUAUUUUCAUAUGAGAACAAGCAAGCUAGUGGUAUUCUUGUAAAACCAUUUGAGAAACCACUAUAUCAAAGAAGAAUCGGGAGGAUCAAUAGAGGAUCUAGGGGAAUAUUCUGUCACUAAAAAAUGAGAUUCUUGUAUCAACUGUAGUAAAUAUUUGUUUUCGUUUUGUUUCUCUAUUUAUAAGUUAUAACACUAAUGUUGGUUCAACUUCUUCCUUUGGCCUUUCAAUAUUGAAUGGAGAUUUUUCUUCUCUUUUAGCUAUAGCUUUAGGGUUUUUCGUUUUAGUCCAGAAUGGAGAAUAUGUAAAGAGACGUUAAUUUUCAGAAGUUUCUUAACACUUCAACAUUUUUUUUUUUUUGGCAAAAGAAAGAGAAAAGAUUUACUGGAAAAAAUAGCGGAAAUUUAAAAAUGAACUAUUAUUUUUUGACAAAUCUUCUUUUUAAUAUCCCACGGAUGAAUACUCUUUUGCCUAAUAUGAGAAUCUUUAAUUUGCGAAAAUCAGAAAAUUUCUGAAGCUCUAUUUUAUGUUGAUAAUGAAUGAUAUUUCUCAUUUAACAAAAUGAUAGAGAGAGUUAUUCAAUCUUCGAAAGGAGAAG